UAUCUGAUACCUGUAUGCUUUCACAUCUCCCAAGCAGAGCUACUCUAAAGUUGACAAGAUUAAAAGAAAUACCACAUAGAACAAAUUGAAGCCUUAUAUGGGGAAUGAGACAGACAACAAAGGAGAAAGUGCUUAGCUCUGUGCCUGGUAUACAGAUACCGACCUCAUCAUCUUUUCCCUCCUUGCUAGUUGCUUUAAAUUAACUGAAUCUUCAGGCUCAGAUAAUAAGCAUAUCAUAAAUGAACAGAAAAUUUAUCAUGUGCUACAAGGACCCAGGGCAGGGUCUUGUCAGGUUCUAUUCCAGGCCAUUCAGGAAUCCAACCCAGAAGACAGUGAAAUAUUGGA